rnacentral:rRNA from 1 species
UACGAAGGGUGCAAGCGUUACUCGGAAUUACUGGGCGUAAAGCGUGCGUAGGUGGUUUGUUAAGUCUGUUGUGAAAGCCCCGGGCUCAACCUGGGAAUGGCAAUGGAUACUGGCAGGCUAGAGUGCGGUAGAGGGUAGUGGAAUUCCCGGUGUAGCGGUGAAAUGCGUAGAGAUCGGAAGGAACAUCAGUGGCGAAAGCGGCUUCCUGGUCCAGCACCGACGUUCAGGCACGAAAGCGUGGGGAGCAAACAGG